AAACUGGUAAAAAACAAAAAAAAAACAGAAAAUAAAAAUGUCUACAUAGAGCCUGCAGGAUAAUAUAGUGUUUUGAUGAUCCUAUUGGAUUUUUAUUAAUGCAAUAUUUUUUUAAUAACCUCAGCCCCCCCCCCAGGUUGGGAACCACUGAGCGAAAACAUCCAGAUGAUGGGCGGAUGAGGAAAGCCUGCCGGUGCAGACAUACCAGUGCAGUCUUAAACCGAAACUGAAUUCGUUGAGGACAAAGAAAGAGGAGGAGAAGCGAGGGAUCGGGGAGGAGCACACACUAUUUAAAGCAGGAGUCACAAAGGAGGCCAGCAUUUUGUCAUUUGGUCAUUAGGUCAAGAUGGCUUUACCAACAUGGAUUUGGGCGCUAACUCUGACAAUUUUAUCAGCACAACUGAUAUCAGCUGAUAAUUCUACCAUGACUGCUCCACCAUCGAAUUCAACAUCUAACCAGACUUCUGCCCCAGCUGCCAUCCAGACUACUGGCUCAGCUGCUAACCAAACUUCUGCCCAAACUACCAUCCAGACGACUCCCUCUGCUGCUUCUACUUCUACUGUCCAAUCGACGACGUCCAGUGCUCCGCAAAUCAUACCAAACAUUGUCUUCACCACCAACGAGAACUUCACCACCGACCUGUUAAACUCCAGCUCAGCCGCUUUCCAGAAUCGGUCCAUCAAGAUCAAGCAGCUCGAACCGUUCAUCCGCUCCGCCUUCCCGAGCUUCAACAGCCUGACCCUGGUCAGCUGCAGCUCAGGCUCGAUCGUCCACAACACGAGUGCGGCAUUCGGGGCCAACGUCACCGUCCCCAACAUCACCAGCAUCUACAGCGUCAUCAGCAACGCAGCGAAGAACCUGACCGCCACCCUGCCCAUCACCUUCGUGAACGGGAUCGCCGUCAACUCGGCGGGGACCGCCAGGACGAGCCUGCUGGCCGCUCCCUGCCUGGUCGUCAUGUCGCUGCUGGCGUGGCAGUAGCCGGGGGGACGUCGCCGGGCCGCGGGGAACACGGGACGCGUCCCGUGCAUGAUCCUGUGGAACUAUUCGUCCUUUUUAUUCACGGUGCCGAGGUCCCGUUACUCAGAUGAUGUGUGAUUGAGGAGAGAAGACAUGGCGCUGCGUUGGUAUUCUGGAAGGAAUUUGAAAUGGCACAGAGAGUAGGACGCGGACACGGACACGGUCCCUGAGGUCACAUGCUUCCGUCAAAUUUUAUAUCAUGGUGAUCACCUACAAUACAACUACAAUACUUGCUGUCCCCUCCCCUUCUGUCACCGCCACGGGGCUUUAAAUGGACAAAUGAACUGAUUAGAAAGCAGGGACGUAUGCGACUUCAGGGACACGUGUCUGACUGUGAUUGUUGUCUUCGUUGUUGUAUUAUUUUAUGAUAUUAUUGCUGACUUGUGAAGCUGUGUAAAAAUCACAAUAAACUUUUGAAAUUUGCUCCUUAAUUGAUCGGU
rnacentral:lncRNA from 1 species